UACGUAGGGGGCUAGCGUUGUCCAGAAUCAUUGGGCGUAAAGCGCGUGUAGGCGGUCCGGUAAGUCCGCUGUGAAAGUCGAGGGCUCAACCUCGAAUGCCGGUGGAUACUGUCGGGCUUGAGUACGGGAGAGGCGAGUGGAAUUCCUGGUGUAGCGGUGAAAUGCGCAGAUAUCAGGAAGAACACCCGUGGCGAAGGCGGCUCUCUGGUACGUGACUGACGCUGAGACGCGAAAGCGUGGGGGAGCAAAACAGG
rnacentral:rRNA from 1 species